UUGGCUUUUGUGUAAAUUCCGCUUUACCACAGAGAUAUAAAUUUGCCUGAUUUUCAUCAUCGAGCCCAGGCCAAAAAAAAAAAAAAGCGGUGAUGAAAUUCAAUUUAUUGGAUGGACAACAAAAGCGGCUGUGAAACUCCAUAAUUUCAAACAAUUUUAAUGGUUAACAGCUAGGGUUCUCGAUAUUGAUACAAUAAUUUUUGGCAAAUAUUUGGCAAUUUGUGCAACAAUUUCGUGAACCGCAGCACGGCCGACCGGAUUGGAUAAAUGGAGUUUACAUAAAUGCUAAAUACGUCUUUCCGGAUGAAUCAAUUUCGCCGUCCAGUGCCGAGCCCAUCCGCCAAAGAUCUCCACAUAGGACAUGCAUGCUCAACAGUCCCCAUUAGCAGCUCUCCAGGAUACCUAAAGUUCCAAAAAAAAAAAAAAACAAAAAGAGGAUGCACACUACGCGCCUCUGCACUCCAAACUGCACUGGACUAAGCAGUCCACAGCAUUCAUAUCCUGGCCAAGCUCCUCUUUUUUGACCAGAACAAUGGCCAGAACUCCGGAGUACACCCACUUCGGGGUGGCGCGUGCAUAAAAGGACUAAAGUGACUCCCCUACCAAGUCCCAGCCACAGAUCCCCCAUACCGAAAUCCCCGCUCCAGCUGCGCAUAAAGCAACACUUUUCCAAUUUCCGGCAAUGCGAAACGGGAGCGCAGCCAAAAUCGGAGGAGGCGACUGCAAUAGCAGCGGCCAAGAAACAGAAUGUAUGGCCAUUUAGCCAGCUGCAUUGUAAUAUUUUCACAGAUGGAGAUGGCAGCGUGAUCCAUGCCCGAUAAGCGAUUGUAUUUAUGGUCUAGAAAGGAAUAUGGGAGAGAAGGUACAUUCAACAGUAAAUACGUGGUGAAAAUGGGCCUGGCCUUUUUGGUAAUUAAAGGAAUUUAAAAAGCUUUUUAUAUGAUAAAAUCAGUAAAACGAAAAGGGCGAAAGAGCACUUUAAGUAUUUCGCAAUGUACAAUGUAAGUUCGUGACUUUUCGUCAUGCCAUCGCUAUAAUAAUGCCCAUUUUGGGUGCUUUGUUGGCCAAUGGCCGGCGUGGCGCAUAACUCACAUUGCGCACAAAUACAUGGCCAGGAUUGCACCAGAGCCCAUUAUUAAUGAGCUCAGCAAUCGAAAAUGCGUGAGCACCCUUUUCGCAGGUCCAGGAUGUGCGAUGACGAUGGCGAUGGCAAUGGCGAUGGCGAUGGCUAUGAUGAUGAUGAUGGCAACUUUCCAACAAUAUGCAGCACUCUAAUGAGCAGCCGCUUGAGCAGAAGGAAACCACGAUUCUGCGGGACAGGGAACCAUUGGAACGCUUGUAAAGUUGUCGAGUAAUUAAUUUGUUCAAUGGCAUGCUGGAGGUGUAAGCGAAACCAUUUAAAGUUGACGACGCUGACGACGCAGACACUUGAGAAUUCAAAAGCAACUACAAAGUGGCAAAGUCCUCGAGGUAUUCGCAGCCAGGUACGCCGGCGGGAUCUGGAGAAACUUGUCGUGUAUGCCCAGCGGAGUGUGUAUCCGGCACCGUACCGCCCGAGGUUUGCAUGGGGAGUUCGUUCUGGGGGGAGAGUUGUAAGGUACUAUUCUAGCCUUUGGAUAUUAUAUAUCUAAUCAAAAAUGGCCUUCGGUUGACGCUUUUUGAAAAGUAAAUACUUUCUCUAUCUAAAAUUAACCUUAUUAACCUUAAUCUGUUUACAUAAUUUACCAUUAUUUGACACCAUUAAGCCUGCAAUUAAAGACGUACUUAAUUAAUAAAUUAAAUUAAAAUGUUUAUAAUAUUUCCCUAUUUUCCAGAGAGCAAUAAUAAUACUAUGGCAACAUACUAAAAUAUUUGUUUACGUAGGGAGAAAAAAUGAUAACCUAAAUCAUUCAGAAGACAAAAAGAUCACCAAAACUUAUUAAUUACCAAAGCAUGACAAAAAGGAUGUUUGAAUCGCUAAAUUAAAGUGAAGAUGGAACUAAAAUGAUGUUUCUGGAAAAUGUAGCUUACGACACACAUAUAUCCAUGUUAAUGGAUUCUAUAAUGCUGGAGUCUGGAUUUUGAUGAAUUACUUUUUCAAAUCUUAUUCUUGUCCGUCCUUUAUUACUUUCCUGUAAGGUUUUAAAAAAAAAUGUUAGCUUUUCCACUAUUUUCAUUCCAUCUAUUAAUGUCAUCCCCGAUUCAAAUAUAAAAGUUACGUAGUCUGGAAGUUUUUCAGAAUACUUCCAUAUAUGUAGACAUUUAAUUUGAUUCAAGAUCCGAGUUUUUUAGCAACUCUCGUGUUACUUUUGUCGAGUCUGCAUCAUUUGGAUCGAAAGACUCCAGAACUUAUAAAAUAUAUUAAUAUAUUAACUACACACCAUCUUCUAUAUGGGGAGUAUUAAGGACUAAGUUAAGUACGUGGUUAAAUUGCACAAUUUAAAAUAAAGAACACGGAUCAGAACAAUAAAAUCUACAA